AAGGAGGCUCUCUGGUCCUCCCGUUCGACAGAUAGCCGCAUCUUCUCAGGCAGCGCCAGCACCAUCUCCCAGACACCAUGGUGAAAGUGAAGGCCGGAAUAAACGGCUUUGGCCGUAUUGGGCGCCUGGUCACCAGGGCUGCUUUUAACUCUGGCAAAGUGGAUAUUGUCGCCAUCAACGACCCCUUCAUUGACCUCAACUACGUGGUCUACAUGUUCCAGUAUGACUCCACCCAUGGCAAGUUCCAUGGCACAGUCAAGGCGGAGAACGGGAAGCUUGUCAUCAAUGGCCAGCCCAUAACCAUCUUCCAGGAGCGAGAUCCCACCAAAAUCAAAUGGGGUGAAGCGAACGCUGAUUACGUCGUGGAGUCCACUGGCGUCUUCACUACCCUGGAGAAGGCUGGGGCUCACCUAGAUGGGGGUGCCAAAAGGAUCAUCAUCUCUGCCCUCUCUGCUGACACCCCCAUGUUUGUGAUGGGCGUGAACCACGACGAGUACCAAAACAACCUCACCAUUGUCAGCAAUGCCUCCUGCACCACCAACUGCUUAGCCCCCCUGGCCAAGGUCAUCCAUGACAACUUUGGCAUCGUGGAGGGACUCAUGACCACAGUCCUCCUCACGACGCAGUUUCCAUGCCAGAGCCCCUGAAGAAUGGGAGGGGCCUAGGGAGCCCCACCUUGUCAUGUACCAUCAAUAAAGUUCACUGUACUAGGCCAAAAAAAAAAAA